rnacentral:rRNA from 1 species
AGAGUUUGAUCCUGGCUCAGGAUUAACGCUGGCGGUAUGCCUAACACAUGCAAGUCGAACGGAAUACUAAUUAAGAGAAUCUCACACUAGUGAGAGGUUCUCACGAGUAGUAUUUAGUGGCGGACGGGUGAGUAACACGUUGGAACCUGCCCCGAAGUGGGGAAUAACUGCUCGAAAGAGUAGCUAAUACCCCAUAGUAUCCGGUUUAUCCGGAUUAAAGAUUUUAUCGCUUCGGGAGGGGCCUGCGUCUGAUUAGCUUGUUGGUGAGGUAAAAGCUCACCAAGGCGACGAUCAGUAGCUGGUUCGAGAGGAUGACCAGCCACACUGGGACUGAGAUACGGCCCAGACUCCUACGGGAGGCAGCAGUGAGGAAUCUUCCACAAUGGACGAAAGUCUGAUGGAGCAAUACCGCGUGCAGGAAGACGCUUUUCGGAGUGUAAACUGCUUUUGUCGUCGAAGAUUAUGACUGUAGACGAAGAAUAAGGACCGGCUAACUACGUG